UACGUAGGGGGCUAGCGUUGUCCGGAGUCAUUGGGCGUAAAGCGCGUGUAGGCGGUCCGGUAAGUCCGCUGUGAAAGUCGGGGGCUCAACCCUCGGAUGCCGGUGGAUACUGUCGGGCUUGAGUACGGAAGAGGCGAGUGGAAUUCCUGGUGUAGCGGUGAAAUGCGUAGAUAUCUGGAGGAACACCGGUGGCGAAGGCGGCAUCCUGGACCAACACUGACACUGAGGAGCGAAAGCCAGGGGAGCAAACGGG
rnacentral:rRNA from 1 species